CCGACCUCCCCACCUCCAGUUCUUUCAGCCACUGCUGGGUGUCAGAGUUAAAGGGGAGGGCCCAGAAAGCAUGGGCAGUUUGCAGGGAAAGACCUUCUGGCUAACCCGCAGGGGUGGGAAUCCCCCAGCCCCCCAACUUUGGGACAGUGGGAAGAUACUGGGGGAUCCGGCAGAAAGGUCAGGUGCUCCACCGGGAUGAUGGACACGAAUGGGGAGCCCUACAGGAUUACCACACCCACCGUCCAAGCUGUGCGUGCCCAUGUGAGUUGCUCUCCCCGAGGAGGGGUUAUAUUGUGUGAGUCUGUGAUCUGGCGGUUCCUGUCUCCUUGCCUGUCUGUGCCAAGCUCCAAGGUGAGGCGGCAUCUACACUUCACUGUGUCCAGGGCAAACUGAGGACCUGGCCAGAGCCGUCAGACUGGGGAGGAGACCCACAAAGCCUGUCUGUCCAACAGGCUGAGGAGCACAGCACCCGUGGCCUUGGCUGUCUCUACCACUUAACUCCCUCGCGUAGGCUGCCAACACACACUCACUUAAUUGCUUCUAACAUGCCUGUUCCCGGCGCACGCGCGCAUGUGGAGAAGCAAGUGUGCGGCACGGCAUCUCGGGCACGGAGGGAACACCCGGCACCGGCGGCAGCCCUUCCAGCAGCAGGCCCCAGUCUCUCCUGCUCCACGUUCGGCCUCCCCUUCUAGGAAGUUUCAGCCAAGAGGACAGAUUCCCUUCCUCGGCCACUGGGGCUGUGGUUGCUGGCUCAAGGUCAUUUGGAUAAACCUGGGCAGUGUUGCUCACUCGCUGCCUCCGGCCAGCCGCUGCUCCUGCAGACACUUAGUGAAGCCGACCAGAGACCAUUAAGACAGAAAUCGAUGGGCCUAGAGCGCACGCUUCCUUACCUGCCAGGGAAAGGAGCUCAGGAUCACUCUGCUGUGACAAGCCGGUGGAGAGGGUUCCAGGCCGGACUUCGAAUACAGCGUUCAGCACUGCGCCUGCCAGGAGGAAGCCCUCAGGGUGGGCAGGGUCGCUUGGGGUAACGGCCCUCAACCAGCAAUCCUGACCCGUGGGGGUGGUCUCCUGCACCUGUGUCGCCACCUCAGACGUGAUCCCUCGCUCUCGGACUUGGUGUAGGGGACCACUCCCACCUGAACCCCAGGCCCACCACUUGGGAGCUGUGUGGCCAUGGGCGAGUUCCUGACUCCUCUGACCCUCAGUUUCCUUAGCUGUAAACUGGGGUCUCGAUGUGCCCUUUGCAGGGUGACUGGGAGGAUUAAAUGGAAGAAAUACGUAAAACGCUU